rnacentral:sRNA from 2 species
UGGCUGUGGAGAUGAAAUGAGGCAACAUUGGUAAUGGAAUAGCACAAGGAUGAAGUGUCCUCUUGCUAGCACCAAUAAAAGAUUUCUAAUUAACACAAUU